UGUGUUUAAUUUAAUAAAUUAUUUGAAAAUUAUUUUUCCUUUAGUAAUAUAUUGAAAAAGAUAGCUUAAAGUACUGUGAAGGAAAUAAUAACACAAGAUUAGAAAGUUUUAACAACUGUACCUUUUGUAUCAGGGAUUUAUAAUAAAGUUUUAUAUUAAAUACUCCCGAAAUAAAUUGAGCUAAUAUUAAAAAAUUUUAAAUGUAACAUAAUAAUAAUAAUUUAAUAUUAGAGAUGAAAUGUCAUUCGAAAUUUAUGAUAUCUGGUUCUUAAAAAUAGAUUUUAUAUCAUUUAUUAAAAUAAUAAAAUAAAUUAUUUAGGAUAACCUUAAUAAUAUAUUUACAUAAUUUAAAAUAAUCUGUAAAAGGAAUAAAAGUUUCCUUAAGUUUUAUAACUAAACAUUUUUAAUAAAUUUUUAGAAAAUAUAAGGAACAAAAUAAACAUUAUAUUUAAUUUAUAAUGUAAAUAUUAGUAGAAUUUAAAUAUUAAUAAAUAAUUAAGAUAUAAUUUAACUAAGUAAUUUUAAAUUAUCAUUAGGAAUUAACCCCCAUUUAGCCUGUUUACCAAAAACAUGGUUUUUAGAAAUGAUUAAAAAUCGAACCUGCUCAAUGUUAAAUAAAUAGCCGCGGUAUUAUGACCGUGCAAAGGUAGCAUAAUCACUUGUCUUUUAAUUUAGGACUGGAAUGAAUGGUUUGACUAAAUGUUUUUGUCUUAUGAUUAUAUUUUGAAUUUUAUAUUUUAGUAAAAAAGCUAAAAUUAUAUUUAAAGACGAGAAGACCCUAUCAAGCUUUACAAUCUAAUUUUUAUUUUCAAACUAAAAAGAAAUUGUUUUACUGGGGCAGUAAAUAAAAACUUUUUAUUUAAAUAUUGUGAUUUAUAGAUCUAGUAAAAUCAAGAAAUUUUUAAUAAAAAAUAAGUUACUGUAGGGAUAACAGCAUAAUUUUUUUGAAGAGUUCUUAUCAUUAAAAAAGUUUGUGACCUCGAUGUUGGAUUAAGAUACCUAAUUUGUGCAGCAAUAAAAUAAGGAAGUCUGUUCGACUUUUAAACUCUUCCAUGAUCUGAGUUCAAACCGGUGUAAGCCAGGUUGGUUUCUAUCUUAAAUAUUAUUUAUGUUUCAUUUUAGUACGAAAGGACCAAUUGAGAAAGAUAAUCUUGCUAAAUUAUAAUUAUUUAAAAAUU
rnacentral:rRNA from 1 species